GGCGUACUAAUCUGCGAUAAGCGCCGGUAAGGUGAUAUGAACCGUUAUAACCGGCGAUACCCGAAUGGGGAAACCCAGUGUGACUCGUCACACUAUCAUUAACUGAAUCCAUAGGUUAAUGAGGCGAACCGGGGGAACUGAAACAUCUAAGUACCCCGAGGAAAAGAAAUCAACCGAGAUUCCCCCAGUAGCGGCGAGCGAACGGGGAGGAGCCCAGAGCCUGAAUCAGCAUGUGUGUUAGUGGAAGCGUCUGGAAAGGCGCGCGAUACAGGGUGACAGCCCCGUACACAAAAGCGCAUGUGCUGUGAGCUCGAUGAGUAGGGCGGGACACGUGGUAUCCUGUCUGAAUAUGGGGGGACCAUCCUCCAAGGCUAAAUACUCCUGACUGACCGAUAGUGAACCAGUACCGUGAGGGAAAGGCGAAAAGAACCCCGGCGAGGGGAGUGAAAAAGAACCUGAAACCGU
rnacentral:rRNA from 1 species